rnacentral:lncRNA from 1 species
AUGUUUAAUAUCCAUCGUCGUGCAUUGCACGCUGCAUCACGAUCUAGAACGUGUCAUCGUUACCGAUUCCUGACACGAUCCGAGACACGCUUAAAAAAUUAACACUCGAAAAGGACACGUUUGCCGUUAACACGUUUUACGAGGACGAUCUACUUGGUCGCAGAUGUGCGGGGAAUUCGACCGUCAUCCGGAAUCUCUCGUUUCCAGCGAUAAAACGAAGCGGCGCAAUCGAAGGGCGAGAAAAAGCGCGAGGACGAGCCGAUGGAGAAAGAUUGGCCCUAAAACGCCGACGAGGCACAGAUAAGAGACGAUCCCGUGACGUUUCGUCUGCUCGUAUCUUGCAGAUUACCGAUUCUUCCAACUGUGGCACCGCAGGAGGUGAAAAGUUGCUGUCCAGCGCUCGUCGAAGACACACGCGAGACAAGUUGCUGGAGUCACCUACCGGAUCCUCUGGGCUUUACGACGGAAACGACGAAUUCAAGGUCGCAGCGAUGCAAUCUCCUGAAAAUUCGACGCAGAUCCCAACAACGGUUACUCGCUUUGGUAAAGGGUUUCAAGGUUACUUUUAAGGACUACGAUCCUAUGGUACGAGUUUCGCCAACUUAUCGACGAAGAUGGUUGCAGCGUCGGAGAGAGGAAGAAAAGGAAAAGCCGCGGCUGGGCUCGCGCGGCCACUUAAACAUCGGGCGAAUUUACGUAUCGAGAAGUAGAAUGCGAGAAAAGGGGGGCAGGAGGAGAAAGGAGCCGAGGGAAGAAAGAGACGCGGAAUGGUCUGCAUAUAAAGUGGACACGAAAUGAAGCGGGUUACGUCGGUCGGUAGGUGGAAGAGCAUGUGUCGGUGCUUCUUCGGUGUGGAGUUUGCCUCGCCUUUUUACUCGGUGUACAUUUCGUUUACAUAGGAUCCACGUGCAAGCGGGCGUGCAAAUGCGAAUAUACGCUGCUACGGAACGCGUACAUUGUGGCGCGUGUGUGUUACGCUGUAUAUGUACAUGUACAUGUAUAUAGAGAGGAACGAAAGAGGGCGAGGAACGAGAAAAGAGAAACCGUGGUGUGUUCACGGUGGGCAGGGCAAAACGGAAGAGAGCGAACAGGGCAAGGCAAGCCAUGGUGUGGCAAUGCAGGACAGAGAAGGGCACCAGCAACAGAGAGGAAGAAAGAAAGGGAUAAAUAAAGAGGGACAGAGAAGGUGGAGGCUUGGUUAAAAGCGCGCAGGGUGCUCGCAAUGGCCGACGAUUUUCAACUUUUGCUAUCGCCUAGCCGAGAAUGGAAAAUGGAGAAUCCCGGCGGCGGGAUAUAUACGCCCGAGCUGAACUCAUUUACUUUGAAAGUUUCUCGAGAGCCUCCCGGCCUUCUCUCUUUCCACCCGCGUUUACCGUUUUCUCUAUCUUCUUUUCAUCCUGGGCGAGCCCGUUACCUCCCGACGAGAUUCUACACCGGCCGGGGAUCGACCGUGAAACGCCUCCGUGAAACGCGUUCCUGCCGAUUAUCGAUGGAGAUUUCAUGGAUUUCGCGAAUUAAAGGAUUAAACGCGAUGGGGUGCGAUCGAUUCGUCGAAAGAAACGGCCGACCGCCGCUCGCUUUUUUU